CUCGACACACGCCUCGAAGCCUCGGCACGUCUCGUAACAUCGCUAAUAAACAGUUUAUCUGUAAAUCAACGUCAAAAAGAAAACCCAGCGCUAUAUGCAAAUUCUGCAACGCAACGCUCACUGAGGCGGCUGGAACCACAUCGAACUUUUACCGACACUUGGAGAGGAAGCAUAAAGAAAGACAAACACCUGAAUGAUCCCCAAGAGUUCUGGGAGAAUAUCCUCCGGAAUGAUGGACAGAACAUUUUGGAAGGCCAGAGGAAGAUUUGGCUGCAGGUUUGUGUGCACUCGGGAAGCUCGUGUCAGCGCUUUGUGCCUCCAGUAGAAGGUCGAAAACGACUCGACUUCCAGAUUAACAGUUGGCUCCGGUCGAGGUAACGCUUGUUAUCAGACGAAGCAACUCCACAGUUACUAACAGCAGAAAGUUACAGCAACAGCUGAAGUUUAAACACUCACAGACUGCGAAAUAUGAAGCUUUUUUGAAUGAAAAACAAGAAUUAGCUGCAGGUUAUUGUGGAAGUUUAUGGUCUGAUUUGAAGAAAAUAACGGUUUACUAAGAAAAUCCUUGCUAACUGUAUGCCCUGACAGAGGACUUUUUUAAAAUGUAUUUUUUCUUCUUUACAUUAAGU
ensembl:lncRNA